rnacentral:rRNA from 1 species
UAAAUUUCCAACGUCUAACGCACAUCGUUUACGGCAUGGACUACGAGGGUAUCUAAUCCUCUUCGCUACCCAUGCUUUCGUUCCUCAGUGUCAGUAAUGAUCCAGAAAGCUGCCUUCGCAAUUGGUAUUCUUUCUAAUAUCUACGAAUUUCACCUCUACACUAGAAAUUCUGCUUUCCUCUAUCAUACUCUAGCUGAAAAGUUUUGAUGGCAGUUCCAGAGUUAAGCUCUGGGAUUUCACCACCAACUUUUUCAACCACCUACGAACUCUUUAAGCCCAGUAAUUCCGAACUACGCUAGGUCCCUUCGUAUUACCGCGGCUGCUGGCACGAAGUUAGCCGGACCUUCUUAUUCGGGUACAGUCAUUUUCUUCCCCGACGAAAGAGCUUUACAACCCAAAGGCCUUCUUCACUCACGCGGCAUCGCUGCAUCAGAGUUUCCUCCAUUGUGCAAGAUUCCCCACUGCUGCCUCCCGUAGGAGUUUGGGCCGUGUCUCAGUCCCAAUGUGGCUGAUCAUCCUCUCAAAUCAGCUAUUGAUCAUAGUCUUGGUAGGCCAUUACCCUACCAACAAACUAAUCAAGUGCGGGCUCAUCCAAUGGUGCAUAAAGCUUUCUCAGUAAAGACUUAUCCGGUAUUAGCACAAGUUUCCUCGUGUUAUUCCAGGCCAAAGGGUAGAUACCCACAUGUUACUCACCCGUCUGCCACUAAGUAUUGCUACUUCGUUCGACUUGCAUGUGUUAGGCGUGCCGCCAGCGUACGUUCUGAGCCAGGAUCAAACUCU